GACGAACGCUGGCGGCGUGCUUAACACAUGCAAGUCGAGCGAUGAAGUUCCUUCGGGAAUGGAUUAGCGGCGGACGGGUGAGUAACACGUGGGUAACCUGCCUCAUAGAGGGGAAUAGCCUUCCGAAAGGAAGAUUAAUACCGCAUAAGAUUGUAAUACCGCAUGGUAUAGCAAUUAAAGGAGUAAUCCGCUAUGAGAUGGACCCGCGUCGCAUUAGCUAGUUGGUGAGGUAACGGCUCACCAAGGCGACGAUGCGUAGCCGACCUGAGAGGGUGAUCGGCCACAUUGGGACUGAGACACGGCCCAGACUCCUACGGGAGGCAGCAGUGGGGAAUAUUGCACAAUGGGGGGAACCCUGAUGCAGCAACGCCGCGUGAGUGAUGACGGUCUUCGGAUUGUAAAGCUCUGUCUUCAGGGACGAUAAUGACGGUACCUGAGGAGGAAGCCACGGCUAACUACGUG
rnacentral:rRNA from 1 species